rnacentral:tRNA from 1 species
GGAUGUAUAGCUUAGUGGUAGAGUGAAGUGCUCAGCAUGCACGAGUUCCUGGGUUCAAUCCCCGGUAUGUCCA